rnacentral:lncRNA from 1 species
ACGGGCUCUGUAUUCUAGGGGGGAUUUUAGACGCUUAAAUAAUUCUUUUAAAAGAUCUCUGCUGACAUCCACGGGUCCUAUAAUUAACAUCUAAGCUUUCACAAGCCGGAAGUGUUCCGUCACCCCUAAAAAUACAGAGCCCCAUCUUUGUCUUCCUCCCGUGGUUUGUUAGCAAUUUGUCCAGUCCCCUGUUUCCUCCAUCCCUCUCUCGCCUUUACACAUGUUCGCCCCAGAUGCGGACAUUCAAGCCCUGCGUUCCUUUUACUUUUCUAAGUUUUGAACUCUGCCCUCUAGAAAAAUCAAAAGAUUACAGUCACUGGACAUCUGAUUCAGCUUUUUUUUAAUGCUAAAAAAAGACUCUAGCUAUAGCAGAUUUCCACAGCUGUUGUCCUAACGCCUCUGUGAUCUCCAACUCUGCUCCAGGCGACCCAACGACCCCCUCCCCCACCCCCCAGCAAAUGUGUCUUUGACAGAGGAAGUAUUUGAAAACUGGAGUAAGAAUUGAUUGAAUGAAGGAGGAAGUUGUAGCCAGCUUGAUAGACUUCCCGGACUCGGCCUGGGGAGCCAGUUGGACCUAAAAGUGAUUGAUCCCUGGGCAAGUUAAUUAACCUCUGAGGCUCCCUGCUCUGAUUCUUAAAGGACCCCACCAUUCAAAACAUCUCACAAGGUAUUGUGAAGAAUAACAGAGAUCAUAAAAAUAUAGCAUGAGAAAUAUGCACAGCUCCUACUUGACAUACUGGAAAAUUCUGCGCAUCUUGGAAAACAAGACUAUUAUCCAGAAAAUUUCAGAUGCCAGGGUCAGCCUCAUGCCCUGGUAAAUUAGGGAGGAAAUUGAACAUAUGUGUGAACAGGGCUGUCAUCAGAAGUUUCAGUGCAUCACAGAUGUCUUGGCAAAUGGUACCCCGGUUUCUUUCUAGCUGUCACUGAAUGUGCUGAAGCAGAGAUAAAAGAGUUCCUCUGGCUGCAGGUGAGCACUCCUGCUUCCUGUCCCUGGGAUGUACCAGAGGCUGCUGAUACACAGGAGGAAGACCCAAUGCAGGAUGAUUAUUUGAUCAACACUUUCUAACCUUUACUAGUCUCUCUUUAAAAAAGAGAGAGAGAGAGAAAAUACAUCUCAAGCUGGGAGCCUUCAUCAGGCAAUGCAGCCAGAAGUUGAGUCAGAAAAGAAAUUCAUCACAUCUUAUCAGAAUUGUAAUUGUCUGGACCUUAACCAGUUGUGCCAACCAAGUUACGUUCCCCCAGAGAGCCAGGUGUCGCUUCCGCAGGCUCGUUGGGCAGUGCUUCCCCACGACAGUAAAGGACACGUAGCAAUCUUCUUCCUUGUUUCCAAGUCGUGGAUAAUUUUUCCUAGCAGGGUACAAGUUUAAAAAUCGUAUGAUGAACAUCUGCUUUCUGUCCUCUCACUGUGUCUCUGUGACAGAUCGUCUACAUGCCAAGGAAG